rnacentral:misc_RNA from 1 species
UCGUUUGACGUGCUGUGAGU